CUCCCCGUGUCUGCGUGGGUUCUCUCCGGCUUCUCCGGCUUCCUCCCACAGUCCAAAGACAUGCUCUGGGGAUCAGGUUAAUUGGGGACUUUAAAUUGCCCGUAGUUGUGUGAAUGUGAGUGUGAAUGGUUGUGUGUCUCUGUGUUGCCCUGCGGUUGGCUGGCGACCAAUCCAGGGUGUACCCUGUCUAUCGCCCGAAGUUAGCUGGGAUGGACUCCAGCCCCCCCGCGACCCUGUGUGCAGGAUAAGCGGUCUGACAAUGGAUGGAUGGAUGGAACAUUGGUACCAUAAAGGGACACCAAAACUCAGCAGAAGAAUUCUAAUAGGAUUCACCAAUAUAAAUAGUUGAAAUCAAUAAUUGUUGAAAUCAAAGUAUUCAAAGUAAAAAUCAAAGUAUUUCCGUCACAAAGAAUCAAUCACUCUUGAAAAUGAAGAGUAAAAUUCACUGCAGUUGCAGGAGCUGAUCUAACCCUGCCCACUGACUCUUCACGCUGUCAAUUCAAAGGUUAAAAAACGACUUUGUGUUUGUCCUCACACAGCUCAUGUGUGUGCUUAAGUGUCUGAAUCCUAAAUGAGGGUUCAUGGUGGUGGGCGGGGGCGGGCUGUGUGAGUGUAUUAGCUCAUGUACUGUUUGUUUAGACUCUAAAGCUCUACGAGGGAAGCAAGGUAGCGGCACACUGGGUUUAGAUUGUUUGUCAUUUGGCAUCUCAAGUGGAACUAACAAGCCUAUAAAACGGUAACGAGUGGAAGACGCAAAGAGGCGGAGGGCAAACUAGGAGAGGGACAUUAAUGACAUGGAUGCGUAGAGACAACAAGUACGAGACAAAAUGAGGGCUUUACGUAUGAGAGAUAGGUAGAGGUUGAGAGAGAGAUUCCAUGUGAAACUGUGAUUUGGUGACAACGUUGAGGUUAUUUCAUGCUCACGUGGAUGUGCAUCCACUGCUCUGUGAAUAUUCUUUGAGUAUGCUUGUUAAAGCAAACACUGAAAGGGUCAAUGAGCUUUUACCGUGAAACAAACACCUUCAUUUCUUGCUAUAGCGUGAACUCAAUCAAUUUUCUUUUAUCAAACAAAGGUUCCCCACACCCAUGUUGAUUUUUGUACUUUCUUACGAAGAAAAGUGUUCUCCAAAGCUACCCAAAACUUAUAUAUGAGUAAUACAGGCCCAUGUCCGUUCCAAUGCCCGACGGUGGGGGGGUGGCGCUGACGAUCCGACCGGAGAGCGGUACGGUCGACGGGGGCGUGCCGUCAAUUUAUCAAAUUGUGUGUGUGUUCUGUUAGUUUUCUCCGCUGGACACAGAAGUCGCCUUUGCUCAAGAUGCCACUUUAUUAAUCACUGACACAAAGACUGAUACCGUCAAUAUCGUCCCGAGGGACGCAAUUGGCCCGUGGGCCGCGAGUUUGAGACCCCUGCUUUAGAAGAUAGUAGAGGUUUCGAUGUUCCAGCAUGGGGAGUGGAGGUGUGCAGCAUCCUUAGUCAGGGUCUGUCUACACUUAAAACAAUUUCACCAUAAAUUAAAAGGUAAUUUACCGGCCGUAAUUUACCGUUAUUUUACAGAUUACAGUAUGUUACCGUGCAUUCUAACCAACUUUUUUCCAUAAAUUAAAGGUAACUGACGACAGCAAGGAUGCCAGUAACUUGUUUUUUUUACAACAUGUUACCCUACUUUGGAUUACAGUAUGUUUGUGUAGGAUAACUGCUUUUGUGUAGUAAUUUUACAGUAUAUGACAGACUAUUACCGUUUUUUUUUACAAAAGUGUAAUACAACCCAAUACUUUUGCAUUUAAUUCCCCACAAAUAAAACAAAAGACAGGAAAACAAUUUCAACACAUAACUGUUGCUGUUUAUUAAAUGACUUCAAAGCAAAUAUAUCCAAGAACAAAAAAACUCCCAUUAAAUCCGUAGGAACUGGCCAAAGUUAAUAAACCUUCAAAUGACCACACAAAAACAGUUAUCCCACAGUCAUUGUGAAAUAGCAGUAAAGUACUGGCGUCCCUGCUGCUAAUAAGUUACCGUUCAUUUACAGUGAAAUUGUGUUGUUGUACCAGAGCAAAACAUUUUUUUAACGUAGCUUGUGUAGCAGGUACGAGAUAUACAUAUAUUGUUUUCCUUUUUAUCUUUAAUACUAAUUUCCCAUCCGUGCAGUCAGCAGCCAAUCAGCAGGUUGGAAUACAGGUGAUGGGGAGACGAGAAAGAACGUGAGGUGCAGCUGCCUGACUCUGCAGAAUUGGAGUGGGAACAAAAUAUAGCUUAAAAUUAGCGACACAAAGUGAUUGCCUUUUUGCCUUUGGAGACGGUAGCGAGGCACAGUGCACCGGCCAGAGGAAGAAGUUAGAAUCGCGUUGGUUUGUGUUCGCUGUCCUUAGAUCCUUGCCGCCGCUGAGGUAUAUAGGAAUAUACAUGGGCGUUAUGUUUUAAUGAUAAUUUCCAUUUAAAUAGCUGAAUAUAAGCUCACACAUUACAUACAGGGCUGUAGUGGAGGGUAAACGCACGUAAACGCCGUUAACGCACCUCUAGAAUUUUGGAAAUAGCGUUUAUGCACCUCUAAGUGGCGUUUACGCACCUCAAAGUUCCCUGCGCCUUGUAUUCUUCCGUUGGAAUAAUCCGAAAUAAAUUUGGUGUAAUUUUAAAACAGCUAAGACUACGUUUCCUAUUGUUGAACAUAUAAACGCCGUAGUCUGAAUCAUUUUCAUCUGCGCUGUAUUACGGUCUGCAAUACGCUCCUCUGUCUAAGGCAGGACCUGACAUGGAGGACAAGGAGGCCCUCUGGGCACUACUGUAAAAAGGAGAUUCCGUAUGUAGAUAGUUCUUAAUCUGCAAUUGUGUUGUUGUGUUGACAUACUUUUCUUUACUGUUUUCUUAAAUUUAAUAAACUACAAACUACAAACACAUUUAUUCAUUGUCAUUGAUUGUAUAUGACUUUUACUGAUAACAUAAUGCAAUAUAGCCAGGACAGCCUUACAGAGUCACAACACUUUGUGUUGCGUUGCUUCGCAUCGCGACGAGGUCUGUAUGAUCACAAAAUUCAGAGUUUACCCACCUCUAAUUUUACCACUACAGCACUGAUUACAUACAUUGUCUUUCAGUAAUCCGGUUGACAGCUCAUAUGUUAGAAUUAUCACUUUGAUGUCACAUUUCCCCAUUGAGGCUUGUUAAGGGGCAGCAUCACCAGAACAACGUGCCAGCCCAGCUAAUUGUUCUCUUUCCAUCCAAGUCAAAUGUGGUUGUUUUUACUGUUGCUUCCAUUACGCAGGCCCCAGCUCCUACCCUUUAUGAUGGCCGGAAAGAUGAACAGGUUAACAUGUGUACACAUGGAAAAGAGGUAAUGGAAGGUUAAGUGGAGGGCAGGCAACAGUUGCGUAGGCAGACACAUUCAGUCAAACUUUAUCUGAUGUCUCAUUCCAUAGUGAGAUGAUGACAUCAAGGCCUUGUGCUUUUGCACUUGAAAUAAACCCAUACAAAGAGAGAAGUAGUAUUUAGUCAAGAAGUCUCCAUGCAUCGCUUUCAUUUACGUUAUCAUCUCAGUAAUUAUCUGACGUUCAGAACCAACACCAUGCUGUGAUUGGUCAGCCGUGUGGAGGUGAGAAAGUGGCCAGGGUUUGAACUGUCUCUAACUCUUUUUUUACAGUCCACUAUUUCUGUCACUUUUUAAAAAAUAGGUCUGUGAUAAAAUUACUCUACUUCCCUCAUCUCUAAAUUCAAGUCUUCUUCAAUACAGCAUGAUGUUCAUUUAGCCAAUGAUGGUGCAUAGGACAUUAAGUAGGGUAGGAUUUGGGAAAAUAUUAUAAUGUGAUUCAGUUCAUUAAGUCAAUCGUAACAGUUCAGUUGUGUGUUGGUUGUGCUUACGGCUGGGCGGUAUACCGGUUCAAACGGGAUACCGGUAUAAAAUUUUCGUACAGUAUGAAUUUUUCACGUACUGUUCAUUCCGGUGUUACAUUACGCCGUAACGACUGACGUUGCUCUUCAGCAGGCGGCAGAAUUUUUUUUUACACGUCAUCCCGGAGCACCCCGCGGUCGCAGCUACUUCUUACGUUGAGAGUCACGGUAAUAACUUUAUAACAACAACGAAUAACCCACAAUAAACACUCUAACGGUAAAACAACACGACACAACUGCUCGUGACACAAACUAUUUGUUAAACUAAUAAUUAUCAAUAAUAAUAAUAAUAAUAAUUAUAAAAAUGAGCCCGCAGUACUGCAUGCUGGGUACAGCUCACAACAAGAAACUAACUAACAUGAAAACAUGGAAAAGAGCAACAACGAGAAAUAUGCACCAACACAACGUGUGCCAAUUGAGGAGCUGUGUCUGAAAGGUUUUUGGUUUUGGGAAAUUCAACGUAAGUUACAAUAGAUCAGAAAUCGAUUCACUGCAAAGUCUGUCAAGCCUCUGGUGGCAACACAAG
ensembl:lncRNA